UACGUAGGGGGCAAGCGUUGUCCGGAUUUAUUGGGCGUAAAGAGCGUGUAGGCGGUCAGGUAGGUCCGUUGUGAAAACUCGAGGCUCAACCUCGAGACGCCGAUGGAAACCAUCUGACUAGAGUCCGGAAGAGGAGAGUGGAAUUCCUGGUGUAGCGGUGAAAUGCGCAGAUAUCGGGAAGAACACCUAUGGCGAAGGCAGCUCUCUGGGACGGUACUGACGCUGAGACGCGAAAGCGUGGGGAGCAAACAGG
rnacentral:rRNA from 1 species